GUUGAACGCUGGCGGCGUGCCUAAUACAUGCAAGUCGAGCGAACAGAUGAGGAGCUUGCUCCCCUGACGUUAGCGGCGGACGGGUGAGUAACACGUGGAUAACCUACCUAUAAGACUGGGAUAACUUCGGGAAACCGGAGCUAAUACCGGAUAAUAUAUUGAACCGCAUGGUUCAAUAGUGAAAGACGGUUUUGCUGUCACUUUUAGAUGGUUCCGCGCCGCAUUAGCUAGUUGGUAAGGUAACGGCUUACCAAGGCAACGAUGCGUAGCCGACCUGAGAGGAUGAUCGGCCACACUGGAACUGAGACACGGUCCAGACUCCUACGGGAGGCAGCAGUAGGGAAUCUUCCGCAAUGGGCGAAAGCUUGACGGAGCAACGCCGCGUGAGUGAUGAAGGUCUUCGGAUCGUAAAACUCUGUUAUUAGGGAAGAACAGAUGUGUAAGUAACUAUGCACAUCUUGACGGUACCUGAACAGAAAGCCACGGCUAACUACGUG
rnacentral:rRNA from 1 species